AGCUUCUAAAACUGCCCCCCUCUUAGUUCCACUCUCCCACUCCAUGGAGUAGAAGGCAUUUUGUGUGACUUGCAAGUCUCAGAGAAGCCAGGCCCAGCUUCUGGGCUGUGCUCAGCCCCACCAGGGGCACCUGAGCCCCAGGCAUAGCUCGUCCAGCCCUAGACUUACCCUUGGCCUGCCAAGCUCAACAGCUUUGGGCGGUAGGAUGUCCUGACUGUCCUUAGCGGCUCUUGCCUUGAAGGAAGAGUUGAGUCAACACAGGAGGGCUGCUGGCUGUCCAGGGACCCGGAUGCUCAGCAUCAUUCUCUUCCAAAAGGACCCUCCUUGGUUUCCUGACAAUCCGGCCUGUGAUAUUUGAAGCACGCAGAAAUACCACUUGCACGUGGUUGAGAAGAAGGUCAUCGCCUCACACUGAGUGCG
rnacentral:lncRNA from 1 species